CCUACGUGAGGCAGCAGUGGGGAAUAUUGCGCAAUGGGCGAAAGCCUGACGCAGCGACGCCGCGUGAGGGAUGAAGGUCUUUGGAUCGUAAACCUCUGUCAGCAGGGAAGAACGGUCACUGUGCUAAUCAGCAGUGAAUUGACGGUACCUGCAAAGGAAGCACCGGCUAACUCCGUGCCAGCAGCCGCGGUAAUACGGAGGGUGCGAGCGUUAAUCGGAAUUACUGGGCGUAAAGCGCUCGUAGGCGGUAUGUCAAGUCAAGGGUGAAAUCCCCGCGCUCAACGUGGGAACUGCCUUUGAAACUGGCAAACUGGAGUGUGUGAGAGGAUAGUGGAAUUCCAGGUGUAGGAGUGAAAUCCGUAGAUAUCUGGAGGAACAUCAGUGGCGAAGGCGACUAUCUGGCACAUAACUGACGCUGAGGAGCGAAAGCGUGGGUAGCAAACAGGAUUAGAUACCCCAGUAGUC
rnacentral:rRNA from 1 species